rnacentral:rRNA from 1 species
GAUGAACGCUGGCGGCGUGCCUAAUACAUGCAAGUCGAGCGAAUGGAUUAAGAGCUUGCUCUUAUGAAGUUAGCGGCGGACGGGUGAGUAACACGUGGGUAACCUGCCCAUAAGACUGGGAUAACUCCGGGAAACCGGGGCUAAUACCGGAUAACAUUUUGAACCGCAUGGUUCGAAAUUGAGAGGCGGCUUCGGCUGUCACUUAUGGAUGGACCCGCGUCGCAUUAGCUAGUUGGUGGGGUAAUGGCUCACCAAGGCAACGAUGCGUAGCCGACCUGAAAGGGUGAUCGGCCACACUGGGACUGGAACACGGCCCAGACUCCUACGGGAGGCAGCAAUAGGGAAUCUUCCGCAAUGGACGAAAGUCUGACGGAGCAACGCCGCGUGAGUGAUGAAGGCUUUCGGGUCGUAAAACUCUGUUGUUAGGGAAGAACAAGUGCUAGUUGAAUAAGCUGGCACCUUGACGGUACCUAACCAGAAAGCCACGGCUAACUACGUGCCAGCCGCCGCAGUAA